UCGGUUUUUAUUUAUCUCUGU
rnacentral:piRNA from 1 species